GACGAACGCUGGCGGCGUGCUUAACACAUGCAAGUCGAACGAUGAAGCGGGUGCUUGCACUCGUGGAUUAGUGGCGAACGGGCGAGUAACACGUGAGUAACCUGUCCUUUUCUUUGGGAUAACGGCUGGAAACGGCUGCUAAUACUGGAUAUUCAGGCUGCAUCGCAUGGUGUGGUUUGGAAAGGUUUUUUCUGGGAUUGGGUGGGCUCGCGGCCUAUCAGCUUGUUGGUGGGGUGAUGGCUUACCAAGGCUUUGACGGGUAGCCGGCCUGAGAGGGUGGUCGGUCGCACUGGGACUGAGAUACGGCCCAGACUCCUACGGGAGGCAGCAGUGGGGAACAUUGCACAAUGGACGAAAGUUUGAUGCAGCGACGCCGCGUGGAGGGUGUAGGCCUUCGGGUUGUGAACUCCUUUUUCUCGCGAAAAAGGCACAGUUUUGGCUGUGUUGAUGGUAGUGGGGGAAGAAGCGCCGGCUAACUACGUG
rnacentral:rRNA from 1 species